rnacentral:lncRNA from 1 species
AAAAUUUAUUUAAAUUUAAGGUUGUUUUAUAAAAAUAAUAUUAAAAAAUUAAUUAAAUACAAAAAUAUGGUGGAGAGAAAAUUAAUUACAAAAAUUGGUUGUUUGUUACUGUGUUCGUUGAUGUCGCCUAACACAUCAGCGGCACCACCCUACUUUUUGGCCCAUCAUCAUGUUUUUAAAUAUAUAUAAUUUUUUGGUGUCGCCACUGUGUUAAGUAACACCGGUAUGUAUUUUUAAAAAUAUCCAUAAAAAGAUAGGUAUAAAUGGUGAGAAAAAAUGAAAAAAAGAAUUAACUUUUUAUUGGUGUCAUCGGUGUGUCAGGUAACACCAAUUUAAUUUAAAAAAAAAAACUAGCCUAAAAAGGAAAAAAAAGAAAGCUGAAAAAAAUAGUGUCAACUAACUAUCUGUAACACCCCUUAACCUGAAUCCGUCGCUAGAUUAGAGUUACGAGGCAUUACCGAUCAAAAUCCAACUCAUAAAUUUUUUUUUUUAGACUAAACAACUCAAGUUAGACAGCAUAUAAAAUACUUAUAUAUAUUUUAUACAUAUACAAGGCACCACUUAGCAUAUAAAUUACAGCC